rnacentral:lncRNA from 10 species
ACAAAUAUAAAAUAUCGUCUUCAAACUCUCUAUUUUAGUUCUCUUUUUUUUCCUUAGACACACAGCUUUGAAAUGUCUUAUUUAGCACAGCCAGCUGCCAUGGAAACGUGAAAGCAGAUGACCUAGGCAAAAGAUCUUGUCGAGUGAUUUUAAUGAAGGUUUCUUUCCUGAAUGUCAAAUAUAGGAGACACCUUAUGAAUGUCCCUUAUAGUUGGAUUGCGUGUGUGAGCACAGUGAGUGGAUGGACUAGCAGGAGUAUAUGAUACCAUGUCAGCCCUGAUUCUAAGUCAUCUACUCCAUUCCAGCUUUGACCAGAGGACCCUCCACUGAAGAACUACAAAUAUAGAAAUCUUUCACUUGGACGUUCUGCUUCUUGGUUAUUACAUGUUUCCUUCCAAAUUUCAUCUUCUCCCAUCUCCCUACAAACUUCAAAAGAGGUGUACAAAGGAACUUAAGAGCCAUUUUCUGCUUACCCACCUCUUUAGAAGGUGGGGAGGAUGACUCAGGAAAAUGCAGUAACUGACUGAUGCUAAUAUCAGAACACAAUCAGAAGCGGUCUUUAGGGGAAGCCUCAAGAUUUGCCAUUGAUCGCUGGUCUUGAAUCAAUUCAAGACUAGCCAUUAAAAGGCAAACCCUGGCAAUCCUUGGAAAGAAGAAAUUUGACUGUAAUACGGGCAGUAUGUGUUUGGGAGACCAAUGAUCAUUUGUAAGGCUUUCAACUGCGGCGACGGUAAAUCCAGGAAGUGAAUCAUUCCUCCGAGUGAUGGCUGUUAAGAGAGUCAUAUAGUAAAUUUCUCCCUUUACCAUGGAUUUCCAAUCACUGAAGUCAUCAGGUUGGCCUGAAGACCCCUCAAAAUAAUGUGUUGCUAUUGUGAAGGGCCACCUGUGCCUUACAACAAAUCACAUCUGAUCAACAUGUUCAGCCUUGUUCUCACCAUCACCUGCUCUCUUGUGUUCAAAAUUGCCACCACUCCUGUUUCUCUUACCACUGCUCUCUCUGCCUAGAAACUUAUGCCCUCUCCUCCUGUUCCCCAUCAUUCUUCCUGGAGUGGGGUCCUAAUCAUCCUUGAAAAUUCAUCUUAGGUGCCAUCCUUUAUGGGAAAAUGUCACUAAGUAUAUCCUUCCCAUUGUCAUUGAUAGCAGCUCUUCCUCAAACUGUAAUGUACAAAUAAAUUACCUGGGUAUCUUGUUAAUAUGCAGAUUCUCUUUCAAUAGGGCUGAGAUGGGGGUUUGCAUUUCCAGCAAACUCCCAGGUGCUGUUGAUGCUGCUGAUCUACAGUCUACACUUUGGGUACUAGAAUUUAAUAGUGACACACGGAGAGGAAACAUCAGAUUGCUUUUUAUCCGCAUCUAUAAGCCCGGGUCAUAACUGGAGAAAAAGCCACCAUCAACCCAGAAGGCCAACUUCCAUAAUUAUAUGAAUCGUUUGUGAACAUUUAUGGAUUAAAAUGUUUGAGUAAAGCUGAAAUCGGAUAUUACAGUCCAUGAAUAGUUCAUGCCAUGAGACAAAAAAUUAAAGAAAAAAAUUUCAUUGAUUAAACCAUUUGAUAUCAUUUGAGAUGUUUCACAGGAACAAGAAUCAUUCAUCAAAAUGUUAGAUAACUUAACGUUAGGAAAUUUCCUCCAAUUCCUGCCCACUCUUGGCCUAUUCCAGCCAAGUGUUCCCACCAGCCUUUGGUUUUGUUUUGUUUUUGUUUUUGAGAUGGAGUCUUGCUCCGUCACCCAGGCUGGAGUGCAGCGGCACAAUCUCUGCUCACUGCAACCUCCGCACCUCCAGGUUUAAGCAAUUCUCUGCCUCAGCCUCUGGAGUAGCUGGGAUUACAGGCAUGUGCCACCAUGCCCAGCUAAUUUUUUGUGUUUUUAGUAGAGAUGUGGUUUCACCAUCUUGGCCAGGCUGGUCUUGAACUCCUGACCUCAUGAUCCACCCACCUCGGCCUCCCAAAGUGCUGGGAUUACAGGCAUGAGCCACCGCGCCUGGCCUCCCACCAGCCUUUUAGCCAAGAGAUGAGCUCCUUUCCUAUCCUCCUGGGAAGGACAUGAGAAGGAAAUGUUCCCUUGGAAUCAGGUCCUAGAGAUACUGACACUGGAGUCUCCUGUCUAAUUUUUAGGUGACUGCUCUGGACUCCUUUUAUCGCAUGUUCUCUUACUUUUGUGAUCUCUGGUCCCUGACUAGUUUCUUGCCAGUCCUUUACCUUGCCCUUGUGUCCCUUCUUCCUCUCUUUUCCUUGGUUGUAGUGCCUGAGCACACCUGGACUCCACACUUCCACCCAGCUGCCUGUUCAUCAGUUUUCCAGUUUCUUUCUUCUGCCUGUGUAUGCUUCAUAUUUUCUCCCACAGCCUUACUUUGCCCUAGCCCAGCAUCCUGCCCUAUCCUCAGUGCAUCACUGUCCACAAGUCCAAUAUUAAAGCAAUACAUAGAUAGCAUUUUCCCACAAAGGCUUCAGAUGAUGACAGCUGCCAUUUACAAGAUCUGGAGUUACCUCCUCUGGGAGUCUUCCCUGACUGUCCAGGCUCCAUCAGUCUCCCUUGUACUCUCAUGGACCCCAGGUCUAUGGAGUUGAAAAGCUCACUUUACAAGUCUGUCACCCCUCCAGGGCUUCACUGUCUACUCGAGAGCAGAGGGUACAAAAGUCUUGUACCCUUCUGUAUUCCCCAAGGCCUUCUGUACAGUAGCGGGCAAAUAGGAGAUACCUAAGAUGACUUUGUUGCCUAAACCCCUCACUUGUAUGAGCCCCAGAAUCUCUUCGAACCACAGUGUCCCUGUUGUAUCAUAUCAUAUUGUAUAGCAUGCUGUCAUAUAAUAUUGAAUUGUAUUUUACAGAAGGUAAAGAGUGUAUGUUAAUUAAUGCAAAUUGAGUUAUUUGUCCUUUACACAUUAUUCAAAUUUUUAGACCACAAUAUAUUUCAUUUAGGCCUAAAGGCGUCAGUAUAAAGCUGCUAGAAGUACCAUAGUCUCAAAAAGCAGAAGAAUAGAUUGUUUUCAGAAUCCAAUUCCUAUCUCUCCACUUCCUCCCGAAGACAACCACUUCCAUGAUGACAGUCAAUGGAACAAAUAAUUGGUUUAUAUUUUUAAACAGAUAAAUCAUUCUUCAACUUUCCAAGUUCUAGGACCGUGGUUUCCAGAUCUGAUUUCGUGAGAAGGGGAGGAACAGAGAGAUAAGGGAACCACAUGCCACUUUUAACAUGUUGAGUGUGCAAUCAGCUGCUGAGAAUAAUAACAGUGGUGGUAAGUCUGAGGUUUGAACAAAGAAGCGAAAAUUUUAAUAGCUGCUAAAGGAAUGAAAGAUGAUGUUAACCAUGGAGAAAUGCAGAAGAAUUGGCCCCAGGCCCCAAAGGCCAGUUGAGACCCCGAAUGUGAAAUGAUACCAAAUAUCCAUGGUAGCUCAGUAUAUCAGUCCAUUUUCACACUGCUAUAAAGAAUACCUGAGACUGGGUAAAAGAAAAAGAUUUAACUGACUCAGUUCCACAUGGCCGGGGAUGCCUCAGAAACUUACAACCAUGGCAGAAGGGGAAGCAGGCAUCUUCUUCACAAUGCAGCAGGAGAGAGAAGAAUGAAGGAGGAACUUCCAAACAUAUAUAAAGCCAUCAGAUCUCAUGAGAACUCACUCACUAUCACAAGAACAGCAUGGGGGAAACGGCCCGCAUGAUCCAAUCGCCUCCGUCACUCCACACAUAGGGAUUACAGGUCCCUCGACACAUGGGGAUUACAAUACAAGAUUAGAUUUGGAUGGCGACACAGAGCCAAACCAUAUCACAUGAUUUCUGUAUCAGAAUUCAGCUGUCUAGAUAUUGAAAUGAGACACUGAGAGGUUAAAUUGGUACAGGGUUGAGCUUUACAAUAAAGACAAGUGAGCAAUGAAAAGCUAUUUAUGAAAACAUUAGUGAAAUGGUGGGUCACGAUAACUCUAUUGAGCUAAGCUGGAUAGCAAGGAAUGUGAAGCACAAAGCAGGGUGAUAACUGAAAAACAACAAAAGAUCCCAGAGUUUGGAGGUUUAAAGGAUAGGUAGAGGGCAAGAGAGAGAGGAGAGAAACUAAAAGUAAAAGAUGGAAAGUGGGAUUUGGAGUUCCAGAUUUAAGGAGACUUUGGCCAUGACAAUGACCAAGAGAGAACAUGGACAAAGUGGAAAUUGAGGUAAGGAUCCCUGAAGAUUAGUAAGUCAAAACACUACCUCAUGCUUCCUUUAUCCUGGACUCCAUGCUUAUAACCACUGGGUCUUUCUUCAGAAGCAGAGUGUGCCACUAACAGGAAGACUUCAUGGAAAUUGCUUACUUUAAAUGUUCCACAAAAGUACAGACCUUAUAAAACAGUGUAAAUGUCUACAGAAGAGGAAAGAGCACUACAAAAUAAUUUUGCAUUAGACCACUGUAUUUGUCAAGGUCUUCUAAGUGUUGUUUAUGAAAUGUGGAAGAAGCUCUGCAACUUUGGCAGAAAAGAAGUCCUCCACACUCUCUGGAUGGAACUAUGACAUCUGUCAGACCUCUGGAAGUCAAGAUACCAGAAAUUUGGGGUGACUCAUUCAUCCACUAAAAAAAUGUAUUACCUGCUUUCUUGGUGCUAUUAACGAAUUGGGUGAUUUUAGACAAGUCAUUUAAACUCAUUGAGCCAAGGGAUGUUUGUCUGUAAGGUGAGCCUAUAAAACCUGACUUACUGAUAUUACUGAAAAUAAAAGGAGAAUAAAGCUAUAAAAUAGUAGUUCCCCUCCAAAGAAGCCUAAAUCCUUGAGUCUAGAAGUUGAACCUCAUCUUAGUAAUUCCUUUUCCUUCCCUUAUACAUGCUGCCACACAAUAUAUAAAUCAUGCCUCCACCCUAUGGAAAUAUACCGCAGGAACUUAGUCCAUUAAUUAAUCAUCAUCAUGUCUUUGUCCUCUCUUAUCACUUUCUCCCUCUUCAUCCACUAUUUUCUGUCAGCUUGCUCUCAGGCCACCUAGCCAAGCAUGAUUAAGGUAAAAGUACUUUAACCAAAGCAUUGAAGAAAUGGGAUGCAUUGUUUGCCAUCUCUUUCCCCUGCCUCAUCAAAUCAUCUCUGGGCCCACAACUAUAAUGGAAUCUAGGAGAUAUCCCCCCAAAUUU